CAGGACUUAUUUACCUCGUUCUCGAGUUUAUAUUACUCACAUAAAGUAUUUUUAUUUUAAAAAUUCCCAAAUGGCAGUGAAUUAAGAUAAAUAUUAAUCAAUAUUUAAUUUUUAUGUUCAGCAUAGGUCUACGCUGGUUGAUUUAAAGCUCUUUCUUUUUUUGCCGCAGAACGGUUUGUUGAUCUUUCUAAAGGUAAUGGUGUCCCACGUAAACCGUGUCCCGAUUUUGAGUCUUCGCCAGGUCAGGGUGACUAAGAAAUAGUUCCUGUAGAGAUUCCAGUCCGUCGUUUUCUGGAAGUCCAAAGACUGCCGUGACUCCAAGAGAAGUCUCAGAAAAUGGCUGGGAGUAACAUCGUUUAGGACUUCAUAGCAUCAAGAUGCAAAAGACUCACACUUUGAUGGAACAGAUGAAGGCAACAACAAAGAUGUUGCGAACAAAUCCUUAGAACCAGUCUCAUUUCAACGCAGGCCCCUAGAUAUUCCAUUUCUAAAAAGCGCGAAAUGUUAAUUGAAGUUAAAAUAAAUAAGAUGAGAUGUAAACAAGAAAUUGGAACGGUAGAAUAGUAUUUGUUUUCGGUAUGAUUAAUGGUCUAAUGUCUGAAAUCUGAGUCGUGAAAUCGAUUGUAAAAGCAAUCAACAAUCGAAACGACAUUUAUCUUCUUGUUUGCAACCCUUGAAGAAAUGAAAAAAUGAGAGACAAAGAAAAAGAAUAAAAGGAUAAUAAAAUGCA